rnacentral:rRNA from 1 species
AGGAGAGUUUGAUCCUGGCUCAGGAUGAACGCUGGCGGCGUGCUUAACACAUGCAAGUCGAACGGGUUUUAGCGAGAGCUUGCUUUUGCUAAAACUAGUGGCGGACGGGUGAGUAACGCGUGAGUAACCUGCCUUAGACUGGGGGAUAACACUUAGAAAUAGGUGCUAAUACCGCAUAAGCGCACAGUGCCGCAUGGCACAGUGUGAAAAACUCCGGUGGUCUAAGAUGGACUCGCGUCUGAUUAGCUAGUUGGUGAGGUAACGGCCCACCAAGGCGACGAUCAGUAGCCGGCCUGAGAGGGUGAACGGCCACAUUGGGACUGAGACACGGCCCAAACUCCUACGGGAGGCAGCAGUGGGGGAUAUUGCACAAUGGGCGAAAGCCUGAUGCAGCGACGCCGCGUGAGUGAAGAAGUAUUUCGGUAUGUAAAGCUCUAUCAGCAGGGAAGAAAAUGACGGUACCUGACUAAGAAGCCCCGGCUAACUACGUGCCAGCAGCCGCGGUAAUACGUAGGGGGCAAGCGUUAUCCGGAUUUACUGGGUGUAAAGGGAGCGUAGACGGCAAGGCAAGUCUGAUGUGAAAGGUGUGGGCUCAACUCACAAACUGCAUUGGAAACUGUUCUGCUAGAGUGCAGGAGAGGUAAGCGGAAUUCCUAGUGUAGCGGUGAAAUGCAUAGAUAUUAGGAGGAACACCGGCGGCGAAGGCGGCUUACUGGACUGUAACUGACGUUGAGGCUCGAAAGCGUGGGUAGCAAACAGGAUUAGAUACCCUGGUAGUCCCCU